rnacentral:lncRNA from 1 species
UUAUUAAUUUUAAAACAAAAGUACAUCAACAAACGAUAGGAAAUUGUAAUGAGUAGAACUCAUAAGUCAUAUGCAAUCAAUAGGAGUAUGAAUAUUUAAUUCUCUCCCAUUCCACUGUUCUUCACAAAGUAGGAACAUCUAAGAAUCUUCCCCAGGAUAGCUUCUUCUUGGGAUUCUGAAAGAGACAACUCCCCUCAAUUUACAUUCUGGAACUCCAUAUCACAGUGGCUUAGCCCGUUGUUUUGCGAAUGGAGUAGUGAUCUUUUCAAUACAUCCCAGAUCCCAGCUUUUGAUUUUUUGGAGGAGUGUCUUGAUUGUUUUUAGUUUUACUGGAGAUUCUUGUGAUGGGAAGAACUACGAACUUAUUGAGUCCUGUUGGUAUCUCCGACUUUACUAUAAACUCCAAUUCAUCCUUUAGGGCUUUCCUAGCAGUAAGUUGAUGAACUCGUCUGAUUUUCUCAUCUUCUUUUACAUAGAUUUUCAUUGGAUCAAGUUUCUCUGACUCAUUCAAAACAUGAGGAAACUCUGGAAAAAUGGACUCGACAUUCAUAAUUUGCGGGUCCCUCAAAGAGUUUUGGUUACAGAAUUACAUAUAAUUGUUUCUAGAAAAUAUUUUGGAAUAACGUUAAGUGACGCUAAAUCAUGCCACGAAAGUGA